rnacentral:lncRNA from 1 species
UUAGUUUACAGGAGAGCGAUUUAAAGAAAUUUCCAAAACAUUUUAUUUUUUUACUGGGUCAGCUUUUAUAUUUUUUGUAAUGUUCUUAAUCCAUAUUUUAUAACUUUUUCUCAGCUUUUCACUUUUACAUAUCACAUUGUUGUCAACAAUACUGGUCCUGAUUUAGGUCGAGUUACAAUAGCAAAUUUUUUCAGAAUUUUAGGUGAAAAUCAUUGUAAGUGGUUCAUACAAUGAUAUUU